rnacentral:rRNA from 1 species
CUCUAGCUACAGGCUUAACACAUGCAAGUCGAGGGGCAGCAUGGUCUUAGCUUGCUAAGGCCGAUGGCGACCGGCGCACGGGUGAGUAACACGUAUCCAACCUGCCGUCUACUCUUGGACAGCCUUCUGAAAGGAAGAUUAAUACAAGAUGGCAUCAUGAGUCCGCAUGUUCACAUGAUUAAAGGUAUUCCGGUAGACGGUGGGGAUGCGUUCCAUUAGAUAGUAGGCGGGGUAACGGCCCACCUAGUCUUCGAUGGAUAGGGGUUCUGAGAGGAAGGUCCCCCACAUUGGAACUGAGACACGGUCCAAACUCCUACGGGAGGCAGCAGUGAGGAAUAUUGGUCAAUGGGCGAGAGCCUGAACCAGCCAAGUAGCGUGAAGGAUGACUGCCCUAUGGGUUGUAAACUUCUUUUAUAAAGGAAUAAAGUCGGGUAUGGAUACCCGUUUGCAUGUACUUUAUGAAUAAGGAUCGGCUAACUCCGUGCCAGCAGCCGCGGUAAUACGGAGGAUCCGAGCGUUAUCCGGAUUUAUUGGGUUUAAAGGGAGCGUAGAUGGAUGUUUAAGUCAGUUGUGAAAGUUUGCGGCUCAACCGUAAAAUUGCAGUUGAUACUGGAUAUCUUGAGUGCAGUUGAGGCAGGCGGAAUUCGUGGUGUAGCGGUGAAAUGCUUAGAUAUCACGAAGAACUCCGAUUGCGAAGGCAGCCUGCUAAGCUGCAACUGACAUUGAGGCUCGAAAGUGUGGGUAUCAAACAGGAUUAGAUACCCUGGUAGUCCACACGGUAAACGAUGAAUACUCGCUGUUUGCGAUAUACUGCAAGCGGCCAAGCGAAAGCGUUAAGUAUUCCACCUGGGGAGUACGCCGGCAACGGUGAAACUCAAAGGAAUUGACGGGGGCCCGCACAAGCGGAGGAACAUGUGGUUUAAUUCGAUGAUACGCGAGGAACCUUACCCGGGCUUAAAUUGCAGAUGAAUUACGGUGAAAGCCGUAAGCCGCAAGGCAUCUGUGAAGGUGCUGCAUGGUUGUCGUCAGCUCGUGCCGUGAGGUGUCGGCUUAAGUGCCAUAACGAGCGCAACCCUUGUUGUCAGUUACUAACAGGUUCCGCUGAGGACUCUGACAAGACUGCCAUCGUAAGAUGUGAGGAAGGUGGGGAUGACGUCAAAUCAGCACGGCCCUUACGUCCGGGGCUACACACGUGUUACAAUGGGGGGUACAGAGGGCCGCUACCACGCGAGUGGAUGCCAAUCCCCAAAACCUCUCUCAGUUCGGACUGGAGUCUGCAACCCGACUCCACGAAGCUGGAUUCGCUAGUAAUCGCGCAUCAGCCACGGCGCGGUGAAUACGUUCCCGGGCCUUGUACACACCGCCCGUCAAGCCAUGGGAGCCGGGGGUACCUGAAGUGCGUAACCGCGAGGAGCGCCCUAGGGUAAAACUGGUGACUGGGGCUAAG